rnacentral:rRNA from 1 species
ACUCCUACGGGAGGCAGCAGUGGGGAAUAUUGCACAAUGGGGGAAAGCCCUCGAUGCAGCCAUGCCGCGUGUGUGAAGAAGGCCUUCGGGUUGUAAAGCACUUUCAGUAGGGAGGAAGGUAGUGGUAGUUAACACCUGCACUUAUUUGACGUUACCUACAGAAGAAGCACCGGCUAACUCUGCCAGCAGCCGCGGUAAUACGGAGGGUGCGAGCGUUAAUCGGAAUUACUGGGCGUAAAGCGCAUGCAGGCGGCCUGUUAAGUCAGAUGUGAAAGCCCGGGGCUUAACCUCGGAAUUGCAUUUG